GUGCUUGCUUUGGCAGCACAUAUACAAAAAUUGGAACAAUACAGAGAAGAGUAGCAUGGCCCCUGCACAAGGAUGAUGCACAAAUCCAUGAAGCAUAUAUUUU
ensembl:snRNA U6 U6 spliceosomal RNA